rnacentral:rRNA from 1 species
GAUGAACGCUGGCGGCGUGCCUAAUACAUGCAAGUCGAGCGAACAGAUUAGGAGCUUGCUCCUCUGACGUUAGCGGCGGACGGGUGAGUAACACGUGGAUAACCUACCUAUAAGACUGGGAUAACUUCGUGAAACCGGAGCUAAUACCGGAUAAUAUAUUGAACCGCAUGGUUCAAUAGUGAAAGACGGUUUUGCUGUCACUUAUAGAUGGCUCCGCGCCGCAUUAGCUAGUUGGUAAGGUAACGGCUUACCAAGGCAACGAUGCGUAGCCGACCUGAGAGGGUGAUCGGCCACACUGGAACUGAGACACGGUCCAGAAUCCUACGGGAGGCAGCAGUAGGGAAUCUUCCGCAAUGGGCGAAAGCCUGACGGAGCAAAGCCGCGUGAGUGAUGAAGGUCUUCGGAUCGUAAAACUCUGUUAUUAGGGAAGAACAAAUGUGUAAGUAACUAUGCACGUCUUGACGGUACCUAAUCAGAAAGCCACGGCUAACUACGUG